GAAAUUCCGGUGAAAAUGCUUUCGGACACGGGUUCGAUUCCCGUCAUCUCCACCA
rnacentral:tmRNA from 1 species